CUAGAGUCAUAGUGAUUCUGAUAUUGUUGUCUUCAUAUUCGUACUUUUACUUUGGAUUCGGAGACAUUUAGCUUUAUAUGAUUCUACCCCAAUCUGUCAUUCUCCAAACAUAACCGAUGGCAAAACUAUAAUCACACAGUUUUUCCCUCCAGCUUCUUAGUUUCCAGUCAUUAACAAAAAAGAAAGAAAGAAAGAAAAAUGUUAAAGGUACUGAGAAAAGUUCAGUGCUUACAGCUGGUUUCAGCAAUUUCAACUUGCGCAAGACCCCAUGUUUGUGAAAACAACCCAAGAAUCUUUGAACAGGAUGUAAUCAACCUCCGAUCUGCUGAGAAACGCUGCAAAAAUGACUUCAGUUGCCAAAAAUAAUAACGUCGUUUACAAGCAGCUCUUCCUAUGUCUAAGGAAGAACCAGCCACGCGUGCGAGUUUAUGCUGGCUUCAGACAAGCAAGCAAGGAAAAGGGCAAAUCCUUCCUCCCUCCCUUAAAAUACACAGUAUCGGAACCCGCGGGAAGCCGGAGCCCAUUUCAAAGGUAUUGGCAAUAUUGGCGGAGGUUCAUAUCCACAAAAAUCCAAACAAUUAUGUGAUUUGGUGCCUGGAAGUCAUUACUGGAAAUUUGGCUCUAAGUGAGCUGGCAGUAUCCAGGAAAAUGAUCUUGGGUAUACAGGUAAAUAGAAAUUAUAGCUCUUCAGUGACAGCAAGAGUCAUCAUGAUUUUUUUUUUAGAGUUGUUGAUGACUCAAAUACCACCGAAACAGCUGGAAAUGGCAGCACCUGAAAUGGAAAAAACAAGAGCUGAAAGUUUAUUUUGAAUGAGAGGCAUUGUCCAACUCUGAGACUGAAUGAUGGCAGCUGAGAGUAAGUGCAAGCACAAUCAAUAAUGACUCCAGGUAUGAAAUUAUUCAGAAUCUCUCUUGUUUUCCAUGUUUUUCUCCUGCUACAUUCACAAUGUAUCUGUUCACCGCAAUACUAUCUGUGGAGGAGGAAAAAAUUUCCUCAGUUUAGUUGUUCUUAAUGAUAGCUUUUGAGCUGUCCUGAUUUGAAAUUACAGUGAUAGAAGGGGCUGUUUCAGAUAAAAGAAACAAUGUAUUCCAAAGCCAAAUUGUAUAUUGGGCAGGUAAGAAAGCUUCAUCAUUAAAUUGUCUUUAAUAUGCUUCGCUUUUACCUUCUGCCUUAAAUUUUCAUAUUAGCCACUUUCUCUUUUCUGUGCUGUGUAGCUUUGGGCAAGGUUAUUUCAUUGAUCCUGGUCCUUUCCAAUGUUAAUAUUUUAUUGAUAUAGACCAUAGGAACUGCUCUUAAAUUUGUGUUGAACAACCUAAAAUUGCAGCAUUUUAUAUUUGAAUACCACAUCAAGAGUUUGCAAGGUACUUUAACAUCAUAUUUAAUUAAACUUCACUGCAAUACAAUAUGUUGUCCAGAAUAUGUAUUUUUUAAGCCUCCUUCUUUAAUAGUCAUACUUCAUGUGUCAUACGUAUAUAUCACAGACACAUCACUAUAAGCAACAUGCCCCAACUUAUGCUUUGUGUUUUGUUUUAGGAUUUCCUUUUCAAUAUAACUUUUUUAAAAAUUUUUUUUAUUUUUAGGGCUGCAGCUAUGGCAUAUGGAAGUUCCCAGGCUAGGGGUUGAAUUGGAGCUGCAGCUGCCAGCCUAUAUCACAGCCACACCAAUGUCAAAUUCAAGCCAAGAUCCUUAACCCACUGAGCAAGGCCAAGGAUCUAACCCACCUUCUCAUGGAUACUAGUUGGCUUCAUAACCUGGUGAGCCACAACAGGAACUCCUUUUAUCAAUACGAUUUUUAAAAAAAAUAAAAACCUUCCUCCUACUUAUAUUACAAAAAAUAAGACCACUUAGUGAUGCAGAAAUCUUUCUCUCUUUCUUUCUUUCUUUCUUUCUUUCUUUUUGAUUUCUAUAAUGAUGUAAAGCACUGAUUGGGCCAGUUAUCACAUGGAAUAUGAAUAUGAAUAAGAUGAAAUUCUUGACUUCAAUGAAAUUAAAGUCUUUUGUUUUCCUUACCAAAUCCUUCUUUGCCAGCACUCUCACUCAACAAUUUCAGUUUAAAAAAAAAAAAAAAGGCACUUAUUUUAAAACCUGGGGAGGCAAGCUGGAGCCAGGACAGACUUUAUACUUGUUGGAACUGUUCUGACCAUGCUUAGAUGUACAACAUUCUUUUUCAUUUGGUUGCCUUUAUAAUGCAAAGGGCAGAGGCAAAUGAUUCAGAGCACAAUCGGCGCCAUCCAGAGUAUUGAAACACUCCUCUUAAUGACAAUGCCAAGUUACUCUGUUCGUGAAACACUUGAAAAAUGAGAACAGCGAGCCUUCAAGAGAGAACAGAGUUGGCUCCAAUGCUUUCAUUACCAAAAGAAGAUGUUAAAAUGCAUAGAAAUGUUAAAUCUCUACUAAAAAAA
rnacentral:lncRNA from 1 species